ACCAAGAAACUGCCAUACAAAGGUCUCACACUGAACCCACAAUAUAUAAUAUGUACUAUUUGUUUUUGUACACAUUUUGUAAGAUUCUUUUUCGAUUGACUUGUAGUUACAACUGAUGAUGAAAUUUGUUACACUUUUUAUGCAGACACAACUUGUCCCUGGAGCUGAAGAACAUUUACAGACUAUGCUUCAAUGGCAGGAGUGGUUGCGCAGAUGAAGGUCCCAGGGUGGAGAUUUUGGGCCAUACAAACAGUCAGAGCGACUGAAUUUAUACAAGAGUCACAUUGAGACAUUAGUUAAGUCUGGCGCAGCCUACCACUGUUUUUGCUCAGAACAAAGACUUGAGCUGCUCCGUAAAGAAGCCUUGAGAAAUAGGCAGGUUCCUCGAUACGACAACAGGUGCAGACACCUAACAUCCCAUCAGGUACAAGACCACCGGCAUUCUGGGAAGCCGAGUGUUAUAAG